UACGUAGGGUGCGAGCGUUGUCCGGAAUUAUUGGGCGUAAAGAGCUUGUAGGCGGUUUGUCGCGUCUGCUGUGAAAAUCCGGGGCUCAACCCCGGACUUGCAGUGGGUACGGGCAGACUAGAGUGUGUAGGGGAGACUGGAAUUCCUGGUGUAGCGGUGAAAUGCGCAGAUAUCAGGAGGAACACCGAGUGGCGAAGGCAGGUCUCUGGGCCACUACUGACGCUGAGAAGCGAAAGCAUGGGGAGCGAAACAGG
rnacentral:rRNA from 1 species